GGAUCUGGGCCCUUAUUCGACAUGCUAAAAGUGACGUUUCGUGUUGAUUUCCAUUUGAUGUGGGAAAUAUUGUGACUUGUCGAAUUGCUAUCAUCAACACCUGUCAGUGAACAAUAUCCACACUAGAGGCGGGGCGUUGUACCGGAAUAGUUUUUGGAACAGGUUUUUUGUAAUAGACUACUUUUAGCUUGUCGAGUAUUUAAAAGUACGAACUUUGAUUUCUGAAAUAAAACAUAUAUGAAACUUUCAUCACCUCGUACCUCCAUUCUUACCGUUACUUUAAGCAAAACAAAAUUUUGUUAACAGACGGUCGUCUGGGCGUCUUUUGUAUCUAAAAAUAGUGUAAUAAUAUAUAAUAAAAAUAUGUCAAUGGAUUCAUAGCCUUCACUCAAAACGUCAUAAUAUUUCCGACCCCUACCGAAAUAAUAAGUCGAUAUUUGCAUAAAUAAUCCUUAUUUGUAAGACGCCUAAGACCGGCAAAUACGUAAACUGCCUAUUGGGGGUCAUACUCGUAAAAGUAGUAUUUUAGACGUACUUUUGGUACGAGUAACAGAGACGUACUUUUGGUACGCAGUCCCAGCUCUAGUCAGGAUUCUAGUUGUCAAAUAUAAGCGUGUCGAAUACGUAUUAGUUAACUGUCAAAUGAAAUUAGAUCAACGGUAGACUUUUUUGUCGAUGGGUAUGGCUGCCAUGUUUGGAUUUAUGACAUUUGAAAGGGGAUCCUAAGGCAGAGAGUAGUUUUUUCUGUACGAUUUUGAUUCUUCUACUUGACGCAAGAUGGAGUUAGCUGCCAAAUUCCGAUCUUGGCGUUAUAAAAAUAAACCGCAAGAACCAUGACGAUGACAUGCAGUUGCGUCGAUGUAGAUCUAUCAUAAAACGUACAUGUGACAAUUGCCCAGGAUUUAAAAAAAUCUUGACAAUUAAUAAAUGUCAAAAAGAAAACUGAUUUAUUAUAAAAAUACAAAUUAUAUAUAAAGUUUGAUUUUAAAACCAAUGGUCGUGGGUCCUAACCCCGGCUCUUAACAAUGAACAUCUUGUAACUUGUGUGCAAAAUAUCAUUUAACUUUUACCAAUUACUUUUCGGUUAAAUAAAAUAUCACGAGGAAGAAGUAGCCCCAAUAAGGUAUAUUUUCCCCUCUGGGUUAGAAGGUCAGAUGGCAGUGAGACAGGGAGAGAUAGUGAAGAAUGCGGCAAAAUAAUCAUUAAUUGUGUUGUUAGACUAGCUUUUUUUGUUAAUAUGAAAAUUGACGCAACAGCAAGCUCAAAGCCCCCUAUGAGCCAGAGCCUGUUAGGUGCAGGCUUAAUUGGCUCAUCCGAGGGAAGCGGAGCUUCGGCGACUAGCUGGUUGCGUCUGCUUAUCAACUUCUUCCAAUUCACUUUUACAUCAACUCCUUAUAAAUUUGUAAAUUAAGGUCAACUUUGUAAGAACUAAUACCUGUGCCAUACUAUAAAUUGGACGAUAUGCCUAAUUAAUUGUUAUUAAUGCUGAAUUUUUAAUGGCGUAUAAUAUAAGACAGCGGUCGUAUAAUGACUGAGAAAUUUGGAUUUUUCUGUUUGAAUAAACAGCAAACUGGAGACAUUGAGAUUAAUUAUAAACUUAUUAUUUUAGGUGUUAUCAAGAAAAAAGGUCUUAUCAGAUUUAUGAAUAGGCAUUGGCAGAAAAACAGGCGUCCGACCACGCAUAAUGGAGGAUUCUAUUUCUUUUAUCAUGUAGCUAUAUCUAUAUGACCUCUGCCGCCGACUUUUUCAACGUAUAAUAUAAGACAGCGGUCGUAUAAUGACUGAGAAAUUUGGAUUUUUCUGUUUGAAUAAACAGCAAACUGGAGACAUUGAGAUUAAUUAUAAACUUAUUAUUUUAGGUGUUAUCAAGAAAAAAGGUCUUAACAGAUUUAUGAAUAGGCAUUGGCAGAAAAACAGGCGUCCGACCACGCAUAAUGGAGGAUUCUAUUUCUUUUAUCAUGUAGCUAUAUCUAUAUGACCUCUGCCGCCGACUUUUUCACCCGUUGGCGCCUGUGCCCAAAUCCUUCUAAGACCGAAGCUUGCUGUUUCCACCUGUCCAAUAAGCUGGCACAUAAGACCCUCAGAGUUAGAUUCCGGGGUACAGCCUUACAACAUAACUAUUCCCCAAAGUAUCUCGGUGUUACACUGGACAGAAGCCUGACAUGCCGAUUGCACAUAGAGAAGCUAAAAAGUAAAAUAAGGACCAGGAUAUUUUAAUUACGAUACAUAAAUAACUACUAAAACAUGUUUUCUGCAAGAAAUUAGUUAUCUUAUUAUAUUAUAAAAUAUUUAUUAUCCAUCUGUGAUGUUUAUUUCUUGUGAAGAUAUCGAAGUUUCGCUGUGUAGCACUUAUCGAUAUAUAAUAUGAUCAAAAUCGACCCGUCCACAUCCCUAAAAAUCCACACAUACACAUUUUUACGCACAUAUACAAAGCAGUAUAACCACCAAAAUGGCUACGGCUUGAGUAUUCAAAUUUGUAUUGAGAAAAGGCAACUAUAUCCUGUCUUUAUUUGCCUCUCUAUCGCUCGAAUAUGCAAUACGCAUGCACUCUUCGUCAAAAUCGGUUUCAAACUUUUUCGACUGAGUACGCGCAAUAAACGCCUAGUAGUAGUAUUUAAAUGUUUACCGUAUUCAUUUAAAGCAUCGUAGGACAAUGCCGCUAUGUAAACUGUAAGGUGGGUCUUAAAUUAGUGUGAGUUAUUGGCACCGGACUCAACCUUCACGUUACAAUAUUUAAAGUAUUGCGCUGUCAUAGUAACGAAAAUGAUAAACACGUCAAUCGGAGUAAACAAGUAACUAAAUGAUGCAAACAAGAAAAUAUUGCAAAAUAGGUACAUAUAUAUGUACCGAUAAUUAUUUUGUGUUAAAAAUAUGAGGCAAAUUAUACUGCCCGAUUAUACGGACUACAUAUUAAAAACGAUUAUCUUGGAAACAGUCAAUAGAUGUCGAACCACCAGCAAAGUUUUUGAAGAGGUGUAGUUCCUGGUAUCAACUGGAAACUGAAACUAAUAAUCUACACUCAAGAAAAUGAAAUAUAGUCACAGAAAACUUUAAUGUUUUAUUUUAUUAAAGAAAAACGUUAAAAAAAUGUGUAAACAGAAA